rnacentral:rRNA from 1 species
UACGUAGGGUGCAAGCGUUAAUCGGAAUUACUGGGCGUAAAGCGUGCGCAGGCGGUUUUGUAAGUCUGUCGUGAAAUCCCCGGGCUCAACCUGGGAAUUGCGAUGGAGACUGCAAGGCUAGAAUCUGGCAGAGGGGGGUAGAAUUCCACGUGUAGCAGUGAAAUGCGUAGAUAUCGUGAGGAAGACCAGUGGCGAAGGCGGGUCUCUGGACAGUUCCUGACACUGAGGCACGAAGGCCAGGGGAGCAAACGGG